AUACGGAGGACGCGAGCGUUAUCCGGAUUCAUUGGGUUUAAAGGGUGCGCAGGCGGCCGUGCAAGUCAGCGGUGAAAGCCCGGGGCUCAACCCCGGAAGUGCCGUUGAUACUGCGUGGCUGGAAUGCGGUCAAGGCGGGCGGAACGUGGCGUGUAGCGGGGAAAUGCGUAGAUAUGGCACCGAACGCCGGUAGCGGAGGCAUCGCGGCAGGCCUGGAUGGACCCUCGGGCGCGAAAGCGUGGGGAUAGAACAGGAUUAGAUACCCUGGUGGUCCACGCCGUAAACGAUGGGCGCUCGUCGUCGGCGGCAGACAGUCGGCGGCCAAGCGAAAGCGAUAAGCGCCCCACCUGGGGAGUACGGUCGCAAGGCUGAAACUCAAAUGAAUUGACGGGG
rnacentral:rRNA from 1 species